GGGACGUAGUAACUCCACCUUACUUCUGAUUACUGAGUCUGGUGUUUAUAGAACAACAAUGAUUAUUCACAUCACCAGGUGGACUCUGGUCUUUUUGAAUCCCGAUUGUUCUGCUUGUCUUUCGUCUGUGGACGAGGAAGAAGAAAGCUGUGAGCUCCACCACUGAACCACAUGAGUCCAGAGAGGCUGUGGAGAUGGACCUUCAUCCUGAGUAUGAGGACCUCUCAGACAUGGCAGCACAGAGAGAAGACCCAGAGGAGCAGGAGGACCGGGUGUGAAGAUGCAGUCAAACCAGAGGGAGACUCACCUGGACGGAGACAGGAACAAGUGAACAUAUUUCCCUUCAGUACCACAAGUUAUUAUCUGAGGUCUUUACAAAGUUAAAACUGUACUUUUUAUUUCGUUCUCUUUGUUCUUGAAUCACUGUUUUUAUUUUAAAUGUUCUUUGGUAGAGAACUUUGAAUUUCAUUCUUGCUUCAAUGUGUUUUAUAGAUAAACUUGCAUUAAAAUAUCAGAAUUAGUGGCUUGUAGCAGAAUAUUCAUGAUGCUUUAAUUAUAUCUGUGCUGCUACAUUACUUGUGUGCAUGUUG
ensembl:lncRNA